GGUUUUCUAAGUUCUAUGCAAAGAAAUGUGUGCAUUAUUCUUCUGCCGCUGUUCCUGUGUACGUUGUUUGGCAUUAUCUCAGUCUCUUAUUCCUAUUCAGUUUUUGUUGGAUCUUUUGGACUGCUUGCUUUUGGUGCAAAGAGUUUUCUGAUCGGUGGGUUACAUUUUGAUAAACGGUGUCAGAUCUAUGCAUUUGUUUUUAUGCAGCUCAAAGAGAGAAGAUAAGUGAAGCUAAUCAAGGCUCCAAACAAGGACGGCAGCUGCAGUGUCAGAAAAUGCCAUAGUUCUGAGUUUUAAAUCGAGGGUUUAAAGCAGAACAGCAGCUAUAGUGUCAAAGCUCCAGAGUUUAAACUCAAGAGUCAUUACUGGAUACUUACUAGCAGGAUCUGCCAUUGGACCCAGAGGCUUGAAUUUUGGCCUUGGAUUACAAGUUGUGAAAUAUUUGGCUACCAAAUAUGAAGAGCUAGGGUGUGAAGUGAAAUGGAUGGGCAAGCCUGAUAAGGUGAUCUAGUCACAUUGGUCUGGUUACCGCUGUUAACUUCACUUCAUGUGAACCUUUAGCUUAAUACAUAUUUCUCUUGCACUUGACUACCAAGAUGAAUUUUGAGCAAGGCUACUUUUUGCUUUGAAGCAAAGUUUGGUGUAGAAAUUUUCUAGAUUGUUGCUCAUAUGUUUCUAGGCUAUCCUUC